rnacentral:rRNA from 1 species
UUGGGGGAUUUUAAUGAAAUUUUAUAUCCAUCGGGGAAAGAAGACGGUAAUGCGAGACCAAAUGGAAUGAUGAGAGACUUUUGUGAAUGUCUCAUGGAUUGUGGGAUGGAGGAUUUGGGUUAUAUUGGUGACCCCUUCACUUGGAUAAGAGGUGAUGUACGCAAGCGCCUGGAUCGGGCGGUUUGCAACAUUGGUUGGGCCCAUAAAUUUCCCCGGGCGGUGGUGAUCAACGAAUAGCAUAUUCACUCUGACCACCACCUUCUGGUCCUGGAUAUGGAUUACUUGGAUGACAAACUUUUAGAAAGACCGAAGGGGCAUGGGAAACAAUUCGAGGCUAGGUGGUUAAAGGAAGAGACGGUCACUGAGAUUGUUAACGCUGCAUGGGAGAAAGCAAAGCUAGCAAGUUUUGGCCCUUCUCUUGCUGAUCAGACGAGAGUUGUGCAUGCCGAUUUACAUUCUUGGGAUCAGGAAAUACUUAAGGGCCCGAGGUGGAGAAUAAACAAAUUAAGAAAGGAGUUAGAGAGACUGAAGCAUGACCCUUUGAAUUUAGAAUCACGUGGUCGUCAGAAGGAAAUUAUCAUACUCAUUAAGAACCUGUUGGAUCAACAGGAAAUAUUGAUGGUACAAAGAGGUUGGGCUAACUGGUUGAUGCAUGGGGAUCAUAAUACCUCUUUCUUCCAUAAUGUAGCCUAUCGGGGAAAUGACACCUAUGGGAUCAUGAGGAUCCCCUCUACAGUUGGCGGGGAGAGAGCUGCGCAAAGAGCAUGUCUAGUGAUCCGUACGGGGGGUUUUUACCCAGGUUCGGGCUGCAAUGGAGCGUAA